rnacentral:rRNA from 1 species
AGAGUUUGAUUCUGGCUCAGAACGAACGCUGACGGCGUGGAUUAGGCAUGCAAGUCGAACGGAUAUAAUUUCGGUUAUAUUAGUGGCAAAAGGGUGAGUAACACGUAGAUAACCUACCUUAAAGUUGGGGAUAACACAACGAAAGUUGUGCUAAUACCGAAUGUGAUAUAUUAGUGAUUCUAAUAUAUUAAAGAUGGGAUACUGUCGCUUUUAGAGGGGUCUGCGUCCUAUUAGCUAGUUGGUUAGGUAAUGGCUAACCAAGGCGACGAUGGGUACCCGGGCUGAGAGGCCGGUCGGGCACAUUGGAACUGAGAUACUGUCCAAACUCCUACGGGAGGCUGCAGUCGAGAAUCUUUCGCAAUGGGGGAAACCCUGACGACGCGACGCCGUGUGAGUGAUGAUGAGUCUUCGGACUGUAAAACUCUGUCACCAGGAAGGAAAAGGCAAAAAUUAAUACCUUUUGUUCUGACAUUACCUGGAGAGGAAGCCCCGGCUAACUCCGUGCCAGCAGCCGCGGUAAUACGGAGGGGGCGAGCGUUGUUCGGAUUUACUGGGCGUAAAGGGUAUGUAGGUGGAUAAGUAAGUGAAUUGUGAAAUCCUAGGGCUUAACCCGAGAACUGCGAUUCAAACUAUUUAUCUAGAGUAUGGGAGAGGUAAGUGGAAUUCUUAGUGGAGCGGUGGAAUGCGUAGAUAUUAAGAAGAACUCCAGAGGUGUAGACGACUUACUAGACCAAUACUGACACUGAGGUACGAAGGCUAGGGGAGCGAACAGGAUUAGAUACCCUGGUAGUCCUAGCAGUAAACGAUGUCAGCUUGAUGUUGGGCCCAUCGGCAGCCCAGCGUCGAAGCUAACGCGUUAAGUUGACCGCCUGGGAAGUACGGCCGCAAGGCUAAAACUCAAAGAAAUUGACGGGGGCCCGCACAAGCGGUGGAGCAUGUGGUUUAAUUCGAAGCAACGCGAAGAACCUUACCUGGACUUGACAUGUGUCUGAUUUAAUAUGAAAGUAUUAUUCUCUUCGGAGCAGGCAUGCAGGUGUUGCAUGGCUGUCGUCAGCUCGUGUUGUGAGAUGUUGGGUUAAGUCCCGCAACGAGCGUAACCCUUAUUUUCAGUUACCAGCGAGUAAUGUCGGGGACUCUGGAAAGACUGCCGGUGAUAAACCGGAGGAAGGUGAGGAUGACGUCAAGUCAUUAUGGCCCUUACGUCCAGGGCUACACACGUGCUACAAUGGUCGGUACAGAGGGUAGCAAUAUCGCGAGAUGGAGCAAAUCCUAGAAAACCGAUCUCAGUUCGGAUUGGAGUCUGCAACUCGACUCCAUGAAGUCGGAAUCGCUAGUAAUGGCAGGUCAGCUACACUGCCGUGAAUACGUUCCCGGGCCUUGUACACACCGCCCGUCACAUCACGAAAGUUGAUUUUACCCGAAGUCGCUGUACUAACCCGCAAGGGGAGGAAGUGCCGAAGGUGAGAUUGAUAAUUGGGAUGAAGUCGUAACAAGGCA